rnacentral:rRNA from 12 species
GAAGCGGGAAGAGCUCAAAUUUGUAAUCUGGCGCUUUCAGCGUCCGAGUUGUAAUCUCUAGAAAUGUUUUCCGCGUUGGACCGCACACAAGUCUGUUGGAAUACAGCGGCACAGUGGUGAGACCCCCGUUCAUGGUGCGGAUGCCCAAUGCUUUGUGAUACAUUUUCGAAGAGUCGAGUUGUUUGGGAAUGCAGCUCAAAAUGGGUGGUAAAUUCCAUCUAAAGCUAAAUAUUGGCGAGAGACCGAUAGCGAACAAGUACCGUGAGGGAA